UUAAAAUGUAAUGAUCUGAAAAAUCCAAAAUGUCAUAUUUGACACGAAAAAGACUAAUUGUUGCGUAAUAAAUUCCGCAACAAUUUUCCGUUCCUCGACAAUAAAAUAUUUGAUAAAAAGAAAACAGGAGUACAUGUUCACCAUAUUUUUUGGUAGUCUUGUUUCCAAAAUCUUGUGGAAUGAAAAAUUUUUCUGGACCGACUGGAGGCAGCAACUACCAAAGGAAGCUAUGUGUGGACAAUCGCUGCUACUAAACAAAAUUUUUACGGAAAGAGUUAUUACCGCGAGGUGUUAGCAACUGAUCCUGUGUUUAGCAUAAUUCAACAAAAAUUAAAAUUCA